UUGGCCUCCUGGACCAAACCAUCUGGAGGUGUUCACAAAUUAUUUAUUCUGCUCUCCCUUAACUUAGACCCCUUCCCCUGUUUCUGACGUUAUUUCCACAAUAUUAACCACAUUUCAUAAUUCCCACAUUUCCUAAAAUAUAUCUAAAACAUGCCCUUUAAUUAAUUCUCCUGCACCGCCAAAUUCCGACUCCCCCUGACCAGUUUGUGCUCUGGUCCCACCCCGGAACCUUUAUCUGGGUGUCCGUUCCUCGGGGAAUCUUUUAACCGGAACACCCUGGAGCGGACACAGAACAGCAACCCCAGGUGGAGCAGCGCCCCCACGCCAGCAACCCCCGGACCACUACACCUCAACCACACACUAUGGUUUGCCUAACUCCGGCUUAAUUCCUUUAUCAAUAAAUAACAACAACAAAUGUGCAAAUACGCAAUGUGCAAAUGUACUGUGCAAAGAUCGCUAAUAAAGUGCAAAGUGCCAUCAA